rnacentral:lncRNA from 1 species
UCCUCCAGAGACCGCGACACCCCGGUCUUUGCCGUGCACCGGGUGCUCUUUUUUGGUGCGCGCGAUGUCGCUCGGACCCAAGACGGGCGAUGCCUGGCCAAACCCGCCACAUUCUUCAUCGACGUCCCUUGUCGCGCGAGGACAAAUUCGACAUUCUUGGGUCCGCUGUAUAGUAUAUUGCGCUCGGCCGUGCCGCCGUCGCAGUGGCGACGCGCGCACGGGGAAAAAAGAACCCGCGAUGGGGAUGACAAACACGACCCCGAGAAAAAGGGGGGGGGUGGGCGAAAAAAGACAUCCAACUUAAAAAGGUGUGCGGGAGUCUCGGUCGGUGAGGCUCGCGGUCGCGACGACGAUGGUGGCACCAAAAUGCCGCAGCGCAUCGAGCGCGCCGGUCUGGUCGACGCACCACUUGUCGCCGCCUGCGCGGCGGUCCUCACACCAGACUCGUUUAUCGGCCAAAAAGGCACAGGCAACAAAGUGGCUGUCGACGAUGAGCGCACUCUCCCACCGGCAGGCGGCGAACCAGCACCGGUAAAAGACGCAGCGAUCGAGGCGCGCGCCGCAAAAGUCGACACCGUCCAGGGCCACGCCGGCCACGACGACCCGUUGUAGAUGGAUCCGCGAGAGGUCGAGCGACUGCCACGAGUGACACACAUGGGUCGAGAGACGCUCCCCGAGGUCGUCCCACAGGCACACGGCGUCGCGCACGCGCCCACCGCACAUUGGAACCUCUGGCACGCCGCACCUGGUCAGCAGGUCGAGGAGCGCGACGUCGCACGCGCGCGGCUCGGGCGGAUUGUCGUUGUCAUCGUCAUCGUCGGUACCGGUCCGCCCGCCGGGCGCGAGAUCGACGAGAUCACAAAAGUCGUGCUCGCAAAGCGCCAUGUCGGCGUCCGCGGCGCAAAAAGAUGCCGGACAGGCAGGGUGCACACCGAUGGUCGCCCCCAUAACCAUUUGGUCUGUGGGUGGGCGGCACGCCAUCAUGGAUGCCCAUGAUGGGUCGUGCGUAUCGCGCGCGGUGGCGCACCAUCCGGCAUGACCGGCAGCCUCAUAGUCGCGCAGCACGUCCAGGACCGGGCCGCUCCCAUCGGGCCAUCGGACGCGCACAUGGCCCGUGCCGGCGUCGACGGCGAGAGCGAGCCCCAGCGACGUACCGUCAAUGACACGGCCGGCGACGGCCGCCUCGGGCGAUCGCGGAGAGAACCGAAAGAGCCCCACCGACAGCGCCCGAUCCAGCACCAGCACAACCCGACCGGCGACCAGAUCGCCGUUGGGCCACACGUGCACGUAGACGUCAGGGCUUUUGCCGGUGAUGGUGACGCCCGAUCGGCUGUACCUUGCGCACAGGGGGGCCUCGCUUUUCGGCGAGCGGCCCGGACGCGUCGUGUUGCGGAAUCGCAGCCGCCCGUCGGCAAACCACGACACGACGUCGGGAAGGCGCUCGCUGGCGGCGCCAUAGACGGCGUGCGCGACGAGCGACGGGCUACGGACGGUGCGCCACCAGACGGGUCCGCGCAGCGCGCCGUGUCUCCAUUGGCCUCUGCAGACGAGCGUGCCAUCGCAGUGGGUCACCGUGGCGCACCCCUCGGGACCGUUUGGUCCCCAGGGCCCGACGUACGCGAGACGGUCGUCGUCGGUUUGCGCGAGGACGUCGGCCUGCGUUACCAGCGCGCCGCGUGCCCAGAUCCCAACAGCCGAGCGCACGGGCUGCGGUUGUCCGACGGGCAUUGCAACACACGUCUGCGGCACCGUCGCACCCUUGGCGUCGGUCGACCAGUAGAGUCCCGGUCCGCGCAGCAGACCGUCGGCAUCAAAGCCGCCGCGUCUGAUUGUCAUGCGCGGCCCGAAAUCGCUGCCCUUGAGAUUGAUCCGGGUGCCGACAAAGACGACGUGGUCGCCUGCCGGCACACCGGCGGGUUCUCGGCGCACGGGCUCAAUCGACGCGCGCACACACGCCACUAGCCGGUAGGUGGUGCGUGGGUGGCCGCCCAUGAGGUCGACGAGGCGCGACCACGCGCACCCAAACCAGUGGUCGUGACGCAGAAUCUUGGCCAGUUGCUCUUUGGUCCACCGCGUCACUUGCGCCUCACAUCGGCCCUCCAAGAACGAGCGCCACGAGCGCCCGCCACACACGAGCGCCAUGCCGAUCGCGCCGGCGAUUGAUUCGCAGUGGCGUGCCCAGAGGCGGUCGCUGUCGCGCGCGUACAGGCGCGCCCAGAGGGUCGCGUCGCUGCCGAUCGCCGCCGCGCGCACCGAGACCAUGGUCCACGCGGCCACGUCUCUGGCCUCGUCCAGGAAACCGACCGCAUGCACGAGAACCUCGUCGGGCAAAUCAAACAAGCACGCGCCGCGCGGCGUGGGAGCGAACCCGCCAUAGUCGUCCAUCGUCUGUGAACCGCCGUAUUGAAAUCGAGGCUCUUUUCGGACAGUUUUGUUCUUGUUGUGUGCGGAAAGUGCGCGGCGCUCGCUGUCUUGCGUUGUAUCCCGUGGUGGUCAUGCCGCAACCGAAAUGACGGCGCGGCCAAUAAACACCGGCUUUACGUCCUGAAGC